GAUGAACGCUAGCUACAGGCUUAACACAUGCAAGUCGCGGGGUAACGAGAGGGAAGCUUGCUUUCCUUGUCGACGACGGGCGCACGGGUGAGUAACGCGUAUCCAACCUGCCCAUUACCACGGGAUACCCCGUCGAAAGGCGGCCUAAUACCGUAUGCAGUCGUCAGAUGACAGCAGGUGACGACGAAAGGAGUAGCGGUAAUCGAUGGGGAUGCGUCUGAUUAGGUAGUUGGAGGGGUAACGGCCCACCAAGCCAUCGAUCAGUAGGGGUUCUGAGAGGAAGGUCCCCCACAUUGGAACUGAGACACGGUCCAAACUCCUACGGGAGGCAGCAGUGAGGAAUAUUGGUCAAUGGGCGCGAGCCUGAACCAGCCAAGUAGCGUGAGGGAUGACGGCCCUAUGGGUUGUAAACCUCUUUUAUGCGGGAAUAAAAUGUUUGACGUGUCAUUCAUUGUAGGUACCGCAAGAAUAAGGACCGGCUAAUUCCGUGCCAGCAGCCGCGGUAACAC
rnacentral:rRNA from 1 species